rnacentral:rRNA from 1 species
AGGACGAACGCUGGCGGCGUGCUUAACACAUGCAAGUCGAGCGGAAAGGCCUUUCGGGGUACUCGAGCGGCGAACGGGUGAGUAACACGUGAGUAAUCUGCCCAUCGCUUCAGGAUAGCCAUCGGAAACGGUGAUUAAUACUGGAUAUGACAUUCCUUCGCAUGUUGGGGUGUGGAAAGUUUUUUCGGCGGUGGAUGUGCUCGCGGCCUAUCAGCUUGUUGGUGGGGUAAUGGCCUACCAAGGCUUUGACGGGUAGCCGGCCUGAGAGGGUGACCGGCCACACUGGGACUGAGACACGGCCCAGACUCCUACGGGAGCAGCAGUGGGGAAUAUUGGACAAUGGGCGGAAGCCUGAUCCAGCAACGCCGCGUGAGGGAUGACGGCUCGGGUGUAAA